rnacentral:piRNA from 1 species
UGGACUAAGAACUAGAUAACC